ensembl:snRNA U6 U6 spliceosomal RNA
GUGCUCAUUUUGGCAGCACAUAUACUAAAAUUGGAAUGAUACAGAGAAGAUUAUUAUGGCCUCUGUGCAAGGAUGACACCCAAAUUCAUAUUUUU